rnacentral:rRNA from 1 species
UAAGGAAUAUUGGUCAAUGGGCGGAAGCCUGAACCAGCCAUGCCGCGUGCAGGAAGACGGCCCUAUGGGUUGUAAACUGCUUUUGUACGGGAAUAAACCUUGAUUCGUGAAUCAAGUUGAAUGUACUGUAAGAAUAAGGAUCGGCUAACUCCGUGCCAGCAGCCGCGGUAAUACGGAGGAUCCGAGCGUUAUCCGGAUUUAUUGGGUUUAAAGGGUGCGUAGGCGGCUUUUUAAGUCAGGGGUGAAAGACGGUAGCUUAACUAUCGCAGUGCCCUUGAUACUGAAGAGCUUGAAUGUACUAGAGGUAGGCGGAAUGUGACAAGUAGCGGUGAAAUGCAUAGAUAUGUCACAGAACACCAAUUGCGAAGGCAGCUUACUAUGGUAUGAUUGACGCUGAGGCACGAAAGCGUGGGGAUCAAACAGGAUUAGAUACCCGCGUAGUCC